GCUAAGUGUUAAAUGGGAAGGGGGUGGGGGGUUGCUGGCCCCUUGUCCUGGUGGCACAGGGAGGGGCAUAGAAUUGCUUUCUCUCUCCCAGCUCCUGGACCGCUGGCUUUAGCUCUGAUGAAAAAGAGCCCUCAGAAAGGAUGAGCAUGGCCGGAUAACCCCUGACUGAAGGAACUGGCAGGGCUAAUGACUCCAGAAGUGCCAUGGGAUUUUAUACAGCCUGAGGAAGUGGCUCAGAGGCAACUUGGAGAGUUGGACUUGGUUCCUGGCCUCGCAGAAUAAAAAUCCUCAAACCGUGCUCACAGUUCCAUGGCUGGGGGUGAUCUCCAUUCUGUGUCAGGAGCCUGGAGCCCGGCGAGUUUGCAAAUCACAGAAGGAUCUGCGAAAUAUGCUCAGGUGCUGGCCUGCUUCUCGGGUGGCAAGGAGAAUUGGUUGGGAUGACAGACGGAAAGAGAAGAGGUGCCUCGCAUUCCGUGGAAGGUCCCUUCUGUGGAUGAGUGGAGCCAUUGCCUGCCGUGGGACCCUGGUGCUCUUCGGUGGGGCUGAGGAGUGUGAUGUCCAGCAGUGCUCUCCUGCUGUGUUUGGCUGUGACCUUCUUUUUUCUCUGUGGGGUAGGGCCACGCGUCAAGCUGUAUGGCUGUGUCAGUUCAGGGACUGCAGGUCAGCUUUGGCAUUGUGCCACCCAAACAUGUGAGGCAUGGCUAUAGCUCCCAGUGGGGCUUUCAGAGCUGCCUCAGCCUGCAAACCUCACUUAGACUCUGCUCUGUUCCUAACGAUGUCUGGCUACCACGUCCACUGAGCAGCGAAGGGAAUACGUGCUGGGAAGAGAAAAAUGAGACAAGGCUGGGAUGAGAGGCUCAGCCAUCCCUGGAUAAAAUGUUUGAGAUCACGCUGGAAGUCUGGCAAAGGUGUUUGCUUAACCUUUCCGUAGUUGUCUCCAGUGAAAAAUUCUGCAACUUCCCUGAUAUCUGUUCCGCUUCCUGAUUUUUUCAUCUCACUCUGCAUCUGCAGUGAAAUUACUUUAUGGAUGCUUCAGAAGGAGAAAUUGCUUGCCGCAGUGUGCCUGCAAACUGCGGAACUCAUUGCUACAGGAUACUGGGGAUGCUAAAGUUAAAUGGGUUUGGAGAGCAUUUAAGCAAACUAAUGAAAGAUGUUUCUGAGCUGCGAACUGCUGGAAGGCCUCAUGAGACUGGGACAAGCAAGACAUGGAGGGAGGAGGGAUAGUGUGCUGCUGCUCAGUCCCAUGGUUUCAUUGCUGGUUUUGGGGUGCAGCUCGCCCUGUUGGGGUCCUGCUGCCACUGGUCUGCUGCUCUGCAUCCACACCGUGCUGUUAUCUGCCAAGAGCCCAUCACGUUGCUGUGCUUUGGAGAAGAGUUGGGAUGUGCCGGUGCCUUCCUCCCUGCAGGUCCUCUUCGCAGCCUCUGCAGUGUCUGCCCCCAAGCUGGCUGUGAAAGCAGGGCUGGCUCUGCUGUGGGUACGCUGGCAGUCAGAGCCUUGGGGAAGCUGGAUGGUUGCAGGGGUGUACAAAUGUGGUAGGAUUUGAGUGCUCACUGGAGGCUGGCAGAGUCCAGUUCUGCUCCUUCCGACGGCAAACACAACUGCGGGGUGGUGCUGGGAUCUGUGCCGGGGCACCAGGGUGGUUACUGCUGCCCUGGCCAGGCUGUGCUACCACUGUAAUUAAACGGCUGCGGGGAAGCAAAAUCUGCCUCUUCCCCAGAAUGUGCUGGAUUCAAGCUCUCCUUUUAUCCGUUCAGAAAGUGCUGAAGUGUUUCUAGCUGCUCUUCAAAAGCAAUUCUGCACUGCCCAGAGGGGGCUGUAAGUCAUGUGGGGAGCCAGGAGAAAACGAUACUCAUCAUCUCAGCAGAAGUGUGUAAACCACUUAACUUUUCUGGCUUCAGCUCCUGGGUGAGAUUUAAACCCUCGGAUGGGACUGUGGUUACAAGGGUACCUUUAGUGGGCUAAAGGUACCCUGUGAAGCUAUCACUUUUGGAAGAACUGGGUUUGGGAAAAGUGCUGCUGUGGUGUCUUGAAGGAUGUUCACAAAGUUCACCUUGUGGAAAGGAACACAUUCAGAAGGGGCACAAACUUAGGAAGAUCCUGUCUGGGAUUAACUCUGCUGAGGACACUGGAGUGCAGCACGGAGCGGGCAGGUCCACGGGUCUGUGGGUGCUAAUGGUGCUGCACCAGCACCUGCGGAGGGCUGAGAAGGGGCAAAGCAAAAAGCUGCUCCUCAGCUUCCAAAUGGUGCUCCCAAGAGGAGAAUUGCUUCAGAAGGAGCUCCUCACAGGUAUUGGAUCCCUUGUAUCUCUUGACAAACCUUUGCACUGAGAGAUGUCUCUUUUUUCAGAAAAUAAUAAAGCUGGGCAGCUUGCAAGCCGCGGGCUUGCGCUCGCCUUCUCCCUCAUGUU